rnacentral:lncRNA from 1 species
CUUUUGUGAUUGGCCUAAAGAAUCGCAGUUUAAGGAUAAUCAAGGCAAUGUCAUUAAGAUUGAUCCUAAUGGUAAUGUGUUCUGUUUAAAGUUGAAUUUUUUUUAUAUUUGAGAUCAAUUUGCUUGCUUUUUAUGAGAUUUUGAGAAAUGGGAACUAUUAUUUUAUUGAAGAGUUGUUGCAAUUAAUGUGAUGAUUACUUAAGCUACACCUUUCUCAAUUAUUUCCUGAUUAAUUGUGAAUUUGUGGUUUAUUUUGUAUUAUGUUAGUCAAUUAUUUUAGGUUCAUGUUUUGUCUGGGGUUUAAGUUAUGUAGAGAGAAUAAUGAACACAACGAUAAAUGGAAAUCAAACUCUGACUUUGCUUUCAGCAAUUGUCAUUUUUGGUGUGCUAUAUUUUUAUGCAAAAUGAAAAACUUAUACAAGGGUGGUUGGGAAUAAUGACACUUUUUUGGGUCAUUUAACUUUUGAUUAUGUGGUAUAAUUAGAUGUUUAGUUUUGCUAUACAUAUUAUUCUCUUCAAAAUAAGGCAAGCCAUAUUCCCUCAAAAAUUUUAGAACAAUUUUUAGUGGUAUUAGUAAGAGUAUGAGUAUAUAGCUCAAUCUUGAAACAAAUACUUCCACAUUACAAAUUUGGUAAUACCUGGCAUCUCAAUCAACAAAUUCAUCAAAUUUAGUGAUACCUUGGCAUCACUAGAGUAAUUAUACGUUUUUAUUUUUCUUUAGAAUCCUUUACUUCAACAUUGGUUUUCUUUUUUUUUUUAUCCUUUCAUAAUUGUAAUCAUGAUUAUAUGCAUUUGUGAUCAAUUCAUUCAAGUUGGUGUUAAUUUUUAUUAUAUUACUUUUGUUGCAUGACUUUGCAUGUCGUUAAUGGGUUUUUAGAGUAAAUUGAUUUACACAUUAGAGUAUGUAUUUGCUCAUGUUGAAACGACAAGGUCAUUAGAUUUUUUUUGAAACGAUUCUCCUUCUAUUAGACAAUGUGGUAUAUUGUCUAGACAUUAAUCUGGGAGAUUGAAGAUGUUAUUAUGUUGUAAUGGUGGAUGUUGUCUUGGGUGUGCCAAAAUUGUUCUGGAAUUAUGUAAAGCUUCAUAUCUAAUGUUUUUAACACUUACGAAUAUGGGUUGUGAGACCCAUGAGGAUGAAGGUAUCUAAUUAGUCGCUGAUAACUAAUCUGAGAUCUAUAGUCAUUCACUACAUCAUGUAAUUGGAUGCUUUAAUCAUAUUGUCUUGACCUUUUAUCUGUGUUCUGUUCAGUUGGGAAAUUCUGUGUUUUCAAAUUACUAUUAUUUUCUGUGUGUAUGUGUGUGUGUGUGUGUAUAUAUAUAUAUAUAUAUAUAUAUAUAUAUAUAUAUAUAUAUAUAUAUAUAUAUAUAUAUUGAGGAUGGCUUGGUAUUGAAUUGGUUUGGGCAAUUUUUUUGUAAUGUUUUUGCUCAAUUGGUCAGUGAUUCUUUAUAUUACUGAGUUGAAUAUGAGUUAUUCUGUAUGUUGUGUGUUUCAGACUACUUGAUAAUGAAUUUUUGAACUUUCAACUUUAAUAAACCCCAUUUACUAAUAUCUAAAGCUUGGGAUUUGGCAUUUAUCAAUGUAGGCAGCACUUGACCCUGCACUUGAGAACCAAAUAGUAGGUAUUGUACUUACGUCAUCUGCAGUAGGAGUUCAGCCGUCACAUCCAAUAUUUUUGGUGAGGGUUCUUCGUCAUGUAUUAGCAUAUCUGCAGAAUUGUUUUAUCAAGGAGAGACUGACGUGCAAAAGCUAUUUGAGUCAGUGUUAUAAAAAUCAGUAGGCGUACCUAUGCAAUGGAUGGGGCAACUAGCGCUU